AUCUGUUUGCUCCCUGUUCAAAGGCAAAGCUUGGAUUUGGUGGAAACAUAAAGCUUGACCCUGUGUGGAAAGCAUGCGUCCUUUAUUUCAAUUCCAUUAUUUUAAUAAGAAAUUCAAUUUUUAUGGGUAAAAACACGUCUUAUAGAAAGGACACUUCUGAGUAUCACCACAGCUCCUUCCCAACCAACAUCAGGCCCUUUGGAGGGAACUUGUGUGAAAAGGACAUCAGUGUCUUCACCAAGACCCUCUUGGCAGCCACCAGCUGUGGCAGGAAGGAGCUCAGACCGAGAGGCGGUGCCGAGGGCCUCGGCAGGUCAGGUGACCACGUGACAGAGACCCCGCCUCCGCACGCACGUCCGUAACUCGAGUUCCGGUUCCUCCUGGGCUUGCUCCCUCCGCUUGCAGUGGUCUCCCGGUGAAUUCUGAGGCCUCUGCGGUGGAGGACACCCUGCCCCACGCCCUCUCCCGGGAUCCAGAACCGCAGCUGGGCCGGGCCCUUCUGCCGUUUUCAGAUGCUGCUCCGAGACUUGUGUUUCCCAGCCUUCUCUGCCACCCAGACCUCCGGUGACAGGCCAGCCUUCUUCCGAUAGAGAGGGUCGUCCCCGAACCGAGCCGUGCUCCCUGCAUCCCUGGCUGGAGAUUCUCCACCUUCGCUGAGAACCAGUGAUGCACGCAUCUUACCAAGUGCUUUUUCCGCUUCGUUGAAUCGAGGGAGGCAUUAUGAAGAGGCUUCGCUUAUCUACUUGAGCUACUGCGGUCAGGAGAAAGCAACACGCAGAAACGUUCCCAGCGGCAGACCCAAAAUACUGUUCCCCUGCCGACCUCUCCCGCUCUACUAUGCCACCCGAAGGCGCUCAGGAAAGGAAAGCGGAGCCAAAGCCCUCCGUGUCGGACGUCAGCCCGCACGGUCAUUCUCCCCAAUGUCUGUGUCUGUGUUACUAAUUCAUUCACCAGGCCCACCCAAACAUUUUAAUGAAGUGCCAGUUCGGUGGCCGGGCCUUAUUCUCUGCAUUUCAUCCCAGAAGUCGCGAAGGCAAAGGAAACACUGCCUAGCGGGGGGAUCGUUGCCAGAACGUGUGAGCUCCCGGGGGUAGCACA